rnacentral:rRNA from 1 species
AGUGAACGCUGGCGGUAGGCCUAACACAUGCAAGUCGAACGGCAGCACAGUAAUAGCUUGCUCUUACGGGUGGCGAGUGGCGGACGGGUGAGGAAUACAUCGGAAUCUACUUUUUCGUGGGGGCUAACGUAGGGAAACUUACGCUAAUACCGCAUACGACCUACGGGUGAAAGCAGGGGAUCUUCGGACCUUGCGCGAUUGAAUGAGCCGAUGUCGGAUUAGCUAGUUGGUGGGGUAAAGGCCCACCAAGGCGACGAUCCGUAGCUGGUCUGAGAGGAUGAUCAGCCACACUGGAACUGAGACACGGUCCAGACUCCUACGGGAGGCAGCAGUGGGGAAUAUUGGACAAUGGGCGCAAGCCUGAUCCAGCCAUGCCGCGUGGGUGAAGAAGGCCUUCGGGUUGUAAAGCCCUUUUGGUGGGAAAGAAAAGCAGCAGGUUAAUACCCCGCUGUUCUGACGGUACCCAAAGAAUAAGCACCGGCUAACUUCGUG